GACGAACCUGACAAACGUUAUUCGGAAUCACUGGGCUUAAAGGGUGCGUAGGCUGUGCAGAAAGUUGGGUGUGAAAUCCCUCGGCUCAACCGAGGAACUGCGCCCAAAACUACUGUGCUUGAGUGAGAUAGAGGUGAGCGGAACUUAGGGUGGAGCGGUGAAAUGCGUUGAUAUCCUAAGGAACACCGGUGGCGAAAGCGGCUCACUGGGUCUCAACUGACGCUGAGGCACGAAAGCUAGGGUAGCGAACGGG
rnacentral:rRNA from 1 species